GCCCUGUGGUUACUGGAGACUGUUUGUUCAGUGCAGUGUUCCAGUUAGAAAAAUGGGCCUAAAACAAUACUCUGACUUAUGCAUGGAGCCUGAUAUUUUAGCAGCCUCCAUAGCCCGGUCAUUGUUACACUU
ensembl:snoRNA